UUACACAGUGAACACUGCAGUGUGCUUUGUCGUUCCCUUGGUCUUAACACUGUGCCAGAGCAAUGUCUGUUCCACAGCUCUGCGUUGAAAGGAUGGUCCUUUCAAAGUGUAUUCGAGAAGUCAGUUCUUUG
rnacentral:snoRNA from 1 species